rnacentral:lncRNA from 1 species
CCCAGGUGUUCUAGGGUAUCCCUAUAACCCCAAGGGGUGGAGACAGGAACAGCAUAAAUAUACAACUGGAUGGUAGAUGUGGGUCUGCUGUGCCAGAAGAUGAAGAUGAAACAGCUGUAAGCUACUGGAAGCUGGGACAGCCACGUGACCCACGGCCUCUGGUGUUUGCAGAGACAUCAGCGUUUAUCCAGUCCCGAGUUAUGUGCCUUGGGUCCCAAGGGAGCUCACAUUAUGGUAGGAAAGCAAGCGGCACAAAUGUGGAAGACCCCUGCUUGGAUCCUGACUUGGCGCCCUUUGUGUUCUUUCAGGUAAGUCCAAUCUCUCUGAAGAACCGAGAACUGGCUCUAAGGCCCACAGUCGUAAUCAGGUAUCUGUAAA